rnacentral:rRNA from 1 species
CCCUUAGACGUUCUGGGCCGCACGCGCGUUACACUGACCAGUGCAACAAGCAUCCGUCCUUGGCCGACAGGCCCGGGCAAUCUUUGAACGCUGGUCGUGAUGGGGAUAGACUUUUGCAAUUUUUGGUCUUCAACGAGGAAUUCCUAGUAAACGCAAGUCAUCAACUUGCAUUGAUUACGUCCCUGCCCUUUGUACACACCGCCCGUCGCACCUACCGAUUGAAUGGUCCGGUGAAGCCUCCGGAUUGGCGCGCACCUCGGUGCCGCCGAGAAGUUGGCUAAACCUUACCAUUUAGAGGAAGGUGAAGUCGUAACA